GGAAAUGAGGUGGUUCCUAAAGGAACUCUGGGAAAAGAUUAAACGAAGCGAGCCGCCCCGUUUCCGUACAAGAGAACCAUCUCAGGAGUGGGUUCACCAUCUUGUCGUACGGCAUGUAAAAACAAAAAACCCGCCCAGAUGAGGUAGUAGAGCGGCUGAUUGAAAACUCACUGGCGAGUCAUUUCGGGGAGAAGGAAAAGUCUCGGUCCGAUGACGUAAUUCCGAGUGCGGUGUGUCGUUGCUAGGCGGGAGUUUUGAAUCCAUCUGAGAGGCGAGCCUUCGGUCCAUUGCUGAAGCAGUGAGUUUUUAGUAGGAACCUGAGGAAGUUGUCCCCCUUCUAGAACCAGAGAAGAAAAUCUUGUGGGAUUAUUAUUAUUUUGGCUUUUUUUAAGGAAUUGGAAUUAAAAAAUGGGCGAAAUUGCCAUUUCCUUUUCAAAUGGUACAUUAUCUCAUUUGGAAAAGUUGGAGGCUUCUGCCCGCAAUGUAGUACUGAAACAAGAGAAAAUAAGGGAGCAUGAGGAGAAGAUAUUGAAGAUGAAAAUGAAGAUCCAAGACCUGAGAAGCCAAAGAGAUGAGUUAAAAACCAAACUAAAUGUUUGUCAA